rnacentral:rRNA from 1 species
CCUACGGGAGGCAGCAGUGAGGAAUAUUGGUCAAUGGACGAGAGUCUGAACCAGCCAAGUAGCGUGAAGGAUGACUGCCCUAUGGGUUGUAAACUUCUUUUAUAUGGGAAUAAAAUGUUUCACGUGUGGGAGUUUGUAUGUACCAUAUGAAUAAGGAUCGGCUAACUCCGUGCCAGCAGCCGCGGUAAUACGGAGGUUCCGAGCGUUAUCCGGAUUUAUUGGGUUUAAAGGGAGCGUAGGUGGAGUGUUAAGUCAGUUGUGAAAGUUUGCGGCUCAACCGUAUAAUUGCAGUUGAAACUGGCAGUCUUGAGUACAGUAGAGGUGGGCGGAAUUCGUGGUGUAGCGGUGAAAUGCUUAGAUAUCACGAAGAACUCCGAUUGCGAAGGCAGCUCACUGGACUGCAACUGACACUGAGGCUCGAAAGUGUGGGUAUCAAACAGGAUUAGAUAUCCGGGUAGUC